GGAGCUUAACCAGGUAGCGGCGCCGCAAGCUCCCUUGAAACUUGAACCGAGUCAAACCUGUUGAUUAGGUUUUUGGUGUUAGUUCUUCGCCUCCUCGUUGGGUGUCUAGUCAAGCCGAGCUAAUUCUCUUGCCUGAGAUUGACGACUUUUUCAAAGCGAUCGUCGUAGAGGUUGUCUCUCUGUGAGAGGAGGGAAGAGGAAGACAAGCAUAUGAAGCCAGCAGCCAGCAGCCCCAGCAUCCCCAGCAGCCAGUGCACAUUGAUGGCUCUUGUCAUGGGUUUCUGGCUCGCUUGACCACAUCUGGGAAGGACAGGACUGCCCGUAGCUGGGAGAGGGAGGAUUCCAGUGCUGGUCUGUGCAUGCACCAGUGCCAUCCGACCAGAUUCCUGCGAUUCACCACGGAGGGUGAGGUUCACCUGGGUUUACCAGUGAGGUGAAACGGCCCCAUAAUAGAGGGGCCACGUUUAAGGCCAGGCACCACAGGCUGAAUUUACAUUUUUGCAACUACCUGUCAAUUUUGAGAUUUGUUGGUAUUUUGGUCUAUUAAUAUUAGAAUUUCCAUAAAGUAUAUAUAAACAUUUUCUUUAGUUUAUCAUACUAUUUUCAUUAAAAUGUUAAUGAAUUUUAAACACUUUAAAAUGGACAUGCAUCAAUAAUUUCUAAUUAUACAUCAUUUUAAAGCCUAUUUCAUAAAGAAUGUUACAAACUGGACUAUAUUUAGUAACUUUGAAGAGUUGGUGAUUGGGUCUAAACAGACGUUUGGCGUUUUGUAGAAUAAAUUGCAUGUAUUUGUCUUUAACUGACAUUUCCCAAAAAUCAGACUCAUGCCAAGAAAUGUUUCUCAGCUUCAGAAGCAUUCACCAAAUAUUGUGUGGUUAUCCUUAGAUAUAUUUUUCACACUUGCCCAGAGGGAAUUGUUGAUUUGUUGUAAAUUUUUUAUUCUUGAAAAAUUAAUAAAAAAUUUAUUUGA